rnacentral:rRNA from 1 species
GUGGGGAAUAUUGGACAAUGGGCGCAAGCCUGAUCCAGCAAUGCCGCGUGGGUGAAGAAGGUCUUCGGAUCGUAAAGCCCUUUCGACAGGGACGAUGAUGACGGUACCUGUAGAAGAAGCCCCGGCUAACUUCGUGCCAGCAGCCGCGGUAAUACGAAGGGGGCUAGCGUUACUCGGAAUUACUGGGCGUAAAGGGCGCGUAGGCGGCUCUGUUAGUCAGGCGUGAAAUUCCUGGGCUUAACCUGGGGACUGCGCUUGAUACUGCAGGGCUUGAGGCCGAGAGAGGGUGGUGGAAUUCCCAGUGUAGAGGUGAAAUUCGUAGAUAUUGGGAAGAACACCGGUGGCGAAGGCGACCACCUGGCUCGGUUCUGACGCUGAGGCGCGACAGCGUGGGGAGGAAACAGGAUUAGAAACCCCAGUAGUCC